AGCUGGUACAGUGAAUGGUGGAAUUGUAGUCCAAUGCCCUCUUAUUAUAGGGAAGAAUUAAAUGGGCAAGGAAAAAAAUGAAUGUGCUUUGGAAAGCAUAAAAUAUCAUCCAAAUGUAAGGUGGUGGUUUGAACCUUUAAAGAGGAGCCCUAAUUCCUGGGAGGCAUUUUACUGUGAUUAAUAAAUGUGUGCAACAUAUCGUUUCGGGAGAUGCUCUGAGGAGGUUUGCUUGGGUGGUUUAAUAUUGGCUGAGUCAACCAGUACAGAAAAGUUGCUGUGCGUUUCCUAAGUUUUGUUUUUGUCAUUUCUUAAUUGCAACUCAAAUCCCUGUUUUCUGCACUGUCAGUAGCUGAAUGGACACGUGUACUUCUCUGGGAAGGCCACUUUUAAAAUCAUCUUUAGAGAUUAGGUUUUGUGUAUCAAACACUGAGCACCACGGUCAAAGAACAAGGUGUUAUAUUUAGAGUUCCCCACAAACGGCUAAAUGGCGCUUGAAUUUUUAUUAGGAUGCUCAUGUUUGGAGUGACUGGCAUUAGCCAGGAGCACUGAGUACGAAGCUGCUUUCAGAUGUCUUCCGGGUGACAGCAAAUGAGGAAGAGGAAGAUUCUUCACCAUCUACUGGGUUUAGGACUAAAGUCUGUCCCCCUCUGAUGCUCCAGGUGGCAUUCACCUUUCAGGGACUUUAAAAGAUUCGAUCAGUCUAUUGGACAUGCAGGCGGGGUCCCUAAGAGUGGGCCCACUUUCUAGUGACAUGUUUUCCUACUUAAAUAUGUGAAGAGCAAAUGCUUGCAGGAAGUGGCUAUAGUUCAAGGUUGUCCUUAAACAAAAAACAAAAAACCAUGUUUCCUUCGUCUAAGCAAAGGAACACAUGGCAAUAACAGUCUGUAUCAUUAUUUUUUUUUUUUACAAAGCUUCGAAAGAACAAUGUUCUGUUGAGCAAAAUUCAGUAGCAUUCUGUAAACAUUAAUUUAAGGAAAUCAAUAGACUCAGUGAGCUAAAGCCAUAUUGCAAGAUAAACUGGCCAGAGUGCCACUUUGUCAAAUAGAUUUUCGUUUUCUCGGCUAGAUAAAGACGGUUUCAAAACGGGGCAAACGUGUUGCAACCAAGGUUUGAAAAGUAUGUGGCCUUCAAACAGUCUGCCUGUUCCUACUACAAAGCUGCAUAAACAUACUUUAAAAAUGAUAAGAUUGGUUUAGGAUUGAUUUGGCUUUCAAAUUUUACAUAUAGUAGAUGUCUUAGUUGUCUCAUAGGAAAAGAAUAAAACAACAUACCAGGCCUUCAGAACAGAAAACGUACUUAGGAGAAAGGGGUUAAACUGUCUUGAGAGACAGAGCACUGGGAGCAGUUUCAAUUGAUGCUCGACUUUAAAAAAGAAAGGAAGAAAGAAAUCUUUAUUCAUGCUGACCCGAUGGGCAACAGGCCUUCUUGCCAAAAUCCCGAAGCCAAACUCUCUAGUGAGUUUGGGAUCAGAGGUUUCAGCUGGUGGAAGCUGCUCACGUUCUGUGCUCGCCAGGCAAUGUCAUGUUAAUUUGGGGGGUGGGGGAGAGCUUGGGGGAAGUGAACCCAGGGAAAGGCUAGGGAAGGAAGAGAAAUGAAGAUCCACCCAUUAGCACCAAGGUUUUUCUCAGCCAGACCGAAAGAGCUGCAGGAUAGUUAGAAAAAAGUGGCCAAAGGAAAGCAUCCCUCCCUUCCUGUGCCUUGGCAGGGACCUCCAUGGAGCCUGUCGCAGGACACUUCCAACUUAGACCGCUUGACACCCUCCAGUGCCAUACUAGCCCUUUUAAAUACUAGCAGCAACCAGCUAUGGCAUGGUGCAAACAGCCCCAUGGGGGAAAUGUAGUAAAAAAGUAAGAACAGUCACAUGAAAACCGACAGGGAGGGAGGUUAAGGAUCUAGCUUGAAUGGACAGUGGAAACGCAUGGAAAAGGAUCACAGGAGUUGGAUUGGGUCUGCAGGGUGGGGAGUGGGGCGCUGCUAUUGGCCAAACUCCGCACAUGAACUUCUCUGACAACCUCAUGAGUGAAGGGAGAGACACACUCUUCUUUAUUUCUUCACCUGAAUUUGAGUCUUUGUCUUUUAGGAGUGGGUAUUUAGAAAAUACAGAAUUGACAAUAACAUGCCUAUCCCCUUAAGGUGUUGAUAACGUCUGUGUCCUUAAAAACAUCACAGAAUUAUCAACAGUGUGCUAGAGUUGAGCCUUUUGAGUACUUGUGACUUUUAGGCAACAGGAAAGAGUCUUAACAUCUUCUAUCCUACCUGUUAAUAAAUUGUGUAUACAUUUUAAAUUAGGAAAGAAUUCCACUGGCAACUCUGCCCAUGGAUAUUACGAUAAAUAAAACAGUCUCUUACAUAGCUCCAGUAAAAGAUGGUAUUAGCUUGCCAGGAACAGAAUGACAAAUGCCUAUGACAAAAUGCCGGAAUUGGUUCGUGGGGCUGAAAUUUGGUUCACUGAAUACGCUUAAAGUGGAUAGUUUAUUUGCUCACUCAUCGAAGUCUUGGUGUUAUAGGUGUUAGGAAACAUAAUGAUUGUCCCAUUAUUUGUUGUCAUGGACUCAAUUUUCCUUCCUUCCCAAACUCUGCAUAUGUUUCAAAGAGUGAUUCCAAGUUUAAAGAAACAAAUUUGUGAACAAGAUAAAAACAAAAUCAACAAAAGAAAAAGCAGCAAACACUAAAACCUACUACCCCCUCCCCUCACUCCAAGAUAGUACACAGAUACUCUUAAUAUCUUAAAACAACUGGAAACAUAUCACUGGAACAGGAGUUAGACCAAGACUAUACCAUCAUAGAAUCACAGAAUUUUGGAGCUUCAGGACUAGAAGGAAUCUCGGUGAGUUCAUGUUCCACCAAAGAGAGAAACAACCUCUAGCCAGGGGUCAGCAAACUUUGUCUGUAAAGGGCUAGAUAAAAAAUAUAUAGGCUUUGUGGGCCAUAUUUAGUUUAGAUUGGAUAUUCUUCUUAUUUUUUACAACUGUUUAAAAAUAUAAAAGCCAUUCUUAGCUUGAGACCAUGAAAAACAGACUGUCAGAUCUGGCCCAUAAGCCACAGUUUGGGAAGCCCUGCUCUUAGCCGGACUUGGGGCCAACAACUUUUCUGAAGGCCUAAUGUUCUUCCAUUCUGCACUAAUCCUGUGUGCCUCACCGAUUGGGCAUACCAGGUCUUCUCGCAGGGUAGCUGGGAUCGACUCGCCCAAAUUUAACCAGAAACGUCAUGUGUUUUUUCAUAUACAGGUGAGCAGAGCAAGAGCCCAAGGAGGCAGGUAUAGCCAAAGCCAGGCCCUCCAGGCAAAUGUUCCUAACACCACCCUCUGGCCUCUCCUCACUGCCCUUCUCAUCUGGAACAGAUGACUCCAGGAGCAGGGGGGCUGUUCCAGUCUAGGGUCGCCUUUACAGCCACUCUUGGGGCAGGAGGAAUCUCUUUCUCUUAUUAAAACCAGUUUUGCAUUGA